AUUGAACGCUAGCGGGAUGCCUUACACAUGCACGUCGAACGGAGUGGCGAACGGGUGAGUAAUGUAUCGGAACGUGCCCAGUAGCGGGGGAUAACUACGCGAAAGCGUAGCUAAUACCGCAUACUAUUGGAGCGGCCGUUAUCGGGUUAGCUCGUUGGUUGGGUAACGGCUCACCAAGGCGACGAUCCGUAGCUGGUUUGAGGGGACGACCAGCCACACUGUGAGUGAGACACGGCCCAUACGCCUACGGGAGGCAGCAGUGGGGAAUUUUGGACAAUGGGUGAAACCCUGAGCCAGCCACCCCGCGUGUGCGAUGAAGGCCGUCGGGUUGUAAAGCACUUUUGGCAGGAAAGCGGUACCUGCAGAAUAAGCACCGGCUAACUACGUGCCAGCCGCCGCGGUAAUUC
rnacentral:rRNA from 1 species